GCACUACCCCUACCUGUGACCACAAGCUCCAGGGGGUCGCUGGGGGCUGACCACAGGUAUGGGUCCCUGCUGGAGAAGCUGUAGCAUCGGGCCGCUCACCAUGGCAGCCGGCUCCAUCACCACCAGCCAGCGAGAGGGCAAGACAAGAGGGCUGACGAGGGACGCUACCAUCACAGAGGAUUAUAAACACUAGUCAUAAAGCAUGAACUGCCUGGGGGUGGUGGCUCACACCUGUAAUCCCAGCACUUUGGGAGGCAGUUGGAUCACCUGAGGUCAGGAGUUUGAGACUAGCCUGACCAAUAUGGUGAAACCCCACCUCUAGCUGGGUGUGGUGGUGUGCACCUGUAAUCCCAGCUACUUGGAGACAGGAGAAUCGCUUGAACCUGGGAGGUGGAAGUUGCAGUGAGUGGAGAUCAUGCCAUUGUACUCCAGCCUGGGCGACAGAGCAAGACUUCAUCUCAAAAAUAAGUAAGUAAAGCUCCAACUGUUUGUUCCACCUAUUCUCUGGGCGGGGUCCUGUGCUGGCCCUUUCAAGGAAGGUCUCGUAUAACCCCCCCAGUGACUGUGAGGUGAGUCCUAUUAAGGCCUGCACUCUGCAGAUGAAGAAACAGGCUCAGAGGGGUAACAGCUCUUCCCCAGGAGGUGCAGCUGGUUUGGGGUGAAGCUGGAGUUACCCUGAGUACAGCCUGACUCCAGGCGUCAGCUCCACGGCCUCUUCCUCUGAGACACGGUUUUCUCAUCCGCCAGCAGGGCUCUGCCUGCUUCCCGGGGCUGUUAGAGGCUGGCAGGCCAGGUCAACGGAGGAAAGGGACCUGUGCUCUGUGCCUCAGAAGACGUAGGCGAGGAGCAGGCAUGAGGCCUCAGGGACGGUCUCUGAGGGAGGGUCCUGGGCCCUGGGCUGAGAAAGCAGGGGUGGAGGGCUCCACGUGGAGACCCCAGGCUGGGAGGGGACUCACCGAGUGUGGUGCUGGAGAAGGUGGAGCCAUGGAUGCCCGUGUGUCUGCCCAGCUCUGUCCUGGCCACGCCGGGGUGCAGGGCGUUGACAGUCACACCAGAGCCUGGGGAAGAAAGAAAGAGAAGACUGAGGGAGGGGUCCAGCCUCACCUGGGAGGCUGUGGCAGCCCACACCCAGCUGUGGGGCUUCCGGGCACCAGGCUGCUUCCUGCACUCAAACCCCAUCGUCCCUCUUGCUCUGGAAUCUUAGUGAAGUGGUCUUAUCUUGCGGAGCGGCUCUGCCACAUGGCUGCUGGGAGCCGAGCUUUCCUGGAGGGCUUCAUAAACCCAGAACGCUGAGCUUACCCCGGGAGCCUGCAUCGGUGCGUGGCGGUGGGACCUAAGAUACUGUAACUCUGACCAGCUCCCAGUGGGGCUGGCACCGCUGGUCCACAGACCGUCUUUCAGAAGCAAAGGCCUAGCACAGAUUUCUCAAUCUCAGCACUGUGGAUGCUGUGGGUUGGGAGGAGUGAGGGGCCAUCCCGUGCGCUGUAGGACAUUGAGAGCAUCUGGGCCUUUACCCUCCAGAUGCCCAGAGCAAUCUCUCCCCAAGCCAGCUGUGAUCACUGUGUUUCCAGGCAUUGACAACUGCGGGUCAAAACUGCCCCUGGUUGAGACUCACUGGCUGGAGCCAAAAGGCUGAGCUGCCUGCCCAACAGCAGCAGGGAAGGACAUCUGAUCCAGGCAGACUAGACCACCUGGGAUGAACAGACAAUCCUCAGAAGAACGAUCGAUUAGUGAUGUCUGCUUCAGG
rnacentral:lncRNA from 1 species